rnacentral:rRNA from 1 species
AUGGCCUCGCUGCCGCCGCAUCCCCGCCGGAUUCGGCCCAUCGCCGUGGCCUCCCUGGUGCUCUUCCUCCUCUUCCUCUACACCCGCUCGGAUGGGAACCCUCCGCGGCUCCCGGGCUCCGAUUCGCGCCCGCUCCACCGGAGGCUCCUCUCCGGUGCCGAUCCCGCCAGCCCCGCCGCGUCCAGAGGCGGGAACCUUUCGGAGGUCACCGGGCUGAACGGCGAGCAGCUGGAGAACCCCUCCACCGCGUGCGCCGGCAUCGACCGCCACGAGGGUUUCGGGUCCCAGUGCGAGUUCCUCCGGGCUCACCCGCAGUGCAGCUCCGGCGGGUUCGUCGACUACCUGGACUUCUUCUACUGCAGCCUAGAGAAGAUGUCUGCGCUGCUGCGGCUACCGCCGACAGUGGCUGGUGUUACCCUGCUCCCCUUUGGUAAUGGUGCUCCUGAUGUGUUUGCCAGCAUUGCAGCGUUUAUGGGGUCUGGCGCCGGGGAUGUCGGGCUGAACAGCGUGCUGGGCGGAGCGGUGUUUGUUACCUGCGUCGUUGUUGGGGCAGUAUCAUUGUCCGUCGCGGAGAAGAAUGUGCAGAUUGAUUGGAGGUGCUUUGUGAGGGAUGUUGGAUUCUUCCUGAUCACUUUGGUGGCACUGUCUAUUAUGUUGAUUGUCGGGAAGGUGACCGUUUGGGGAGCUAUGCUGUUUGUAUCGAUUUAUGUGGUUUAUGCAUUUGUGGUGGCUGCAAAUGAGUUAUUAAGGAAGCAUGCACGGAUGCUGAAGUUUGAUGUAGUCACACCAUUGCUUCCGGUGAGGGGAAGUAUCUUCUCACACGGACUAGAGGAUGAUGAUUCUGUGUACAGUUCACUUCUUGAGGAGGAUACAAGUGAUGACGCGGCCCAGGUAAACACAUCAUUGCCGCAGUGGAUGUGGGCUUCUCAUGUGGCUAUCUACUCAAAUCAAGGGAGAGAUGGUUCACCUGACAGGCCUUUGUGGGGUUGGAAUGAAGAAGGAAGAGUGGAUACCUCCACGCUUAACUACUCCAAACUGUUUCUGUUUUUGGAGCUACCCUUGACAAUACCAAGAAAGUUGACGAUUCCAAUAGUUGAGGAAGACCGCUGGUCACAAGAAUAUGCUGUUGCCAGUGCUGGCUUGGCACCUCUACUCUUAGCAUUUCUGUGGAACAGCCAGGAUGGAGUAUCCACGGGUGCCAGCGUAGCAGCAUAUGUGAUUGCUGGUAUUUUUGGGAUUGCACUUGCAGGUCUUGCUUUUACAUUCACCAGUCCCGACCGCCCUCCAAGGAGAUACUUACUCCCAUGGGUGUUUGGAGGGUUUGUGAUGAGCAUCGUUUGGUUCUACAUCAUUGCCAAUGAGCUGGUUGCACUGUUGGUUGCAUUUGGAGUGAUACUUGGGAUUAAUCCUUCAAUUCUCGGUUUAACGGUGUUAGCAUGGGGCAAUUCGAUGGGUGACUUAAUGUCAAAUGUGGCCUUGGCAAUGAAUGGUGGAGAUGGUGUACAGAUUGCUAUGUCUGGCUGUUAUGCAGGACCUAUGUUUAAUACACUUGCUGGCCUAGGAAUAUCGAUGCUACUUGGAGCUUGGUCGACGGCACCCAACUCUUAUGUUCUUCCGCAGGACCGCUCUCUUAUUUACACGAUGAGCUUCCUGGUUGCUGGGUUGAUCUGGGCGCUUGUUACGCUGCCACGAAGCGGCAUGCGACCUAACAAGACGCUUGGAGUUGGCCUCAUUGCUCUCUACUCAGUUUUCCUUUUCAUUAGAGUAAGCAGUGCUAUGGGGAUAUUGCCACUCCCGGGCUUGAAUUAG